rnacentral:lncRNA from 1 species
UGGCUAGAGAUGGCUAUGAGACUGAUGCAGAAAUCCUCUUUGCUUUGCCCAGGGAUUACUAGCACCAACUUCCAUCAGGGGGCUACCUCAGGAAACUUGCUCACUCCACAUCUGCAUCUACCCCCAUUGCCUUGAUCUGUGCAUCCCAGAUGUUCUGGGACAAUGGCUCACGCAAGACAGAGUACAAAGAAGCUUCUGGUUUUUCUCGGCUCUGCCAGACUGUAUGAAAUAGCUGAUUUUGACUGGUAGAGGAGGACUUGGAAGACACAUGGAAAAGGACAGGAUCAAAAUCCAG